AGUCGAGCGGAUGAGAAGAGCUUGCUCUUCGAUUCAGCGGCGGACGGGUGAGUAAUGCCUAGGAAUCUGCCUGAUAGUGGGGGACAACGUUUCGAAAGGAACGCUAAUACCGCAUACGUCCUACGGGAGAAAGCAGGGGACCUUCGGGCCUUGCGCUAUCAGAUGAGCCUAGGUCGGAUUAGCUAGUUGGUGGGGUAAUGGCUCACCAAGGCGACGAUCCGUAACUGGUCUGAGAGGAUGAUCAGUCACACUGGAACUGAGACACGGUCCAGACUCCUACGGGAGGCAGCAGUGGGGAAUAUUGGACAAUGGGCGAAAGCCUGAUCCAGCCAUGCCGCGUGUGUGAAGAAGGUCUUCGGAUUGUAAAGCACUUUAAGUUGGGAGGAAGGGCAUUAACCUAAUACGUUAGUGUUUUGACGUUACCGACAGAAUAAGCACCGGCUAACUCUGUGCCAGCAGCCGCGGUAAUACAGAGGGUGCAAGCGUUAAUCGGAAUUACUGGGCGUAAAGCGCGCGUAGGUGGUUUGUUAAGUUGAAUGUGAAAGCCCCGGGCUCAACCUGGGAACUGCAUCCAAAACUGGCAAGCUAGAGUACGGUAGAGGGUGGUGGAAUUUCCUGUGUAGCGGUGAAAUGCGUANAUAU
rnacentral:rRNA from 1 species